UACGUAGGGUGCAAGCGUUGUCCGGAAUUAUUGGGCGUAAAGAGCUCGUAGGCGGUCUGUUGCGUCGGCUGUGAAAACCCGGGGCUCAACCCCGGGCCUGCAGCCGAUACGGGCAGACUAGAGUUCGGCAGGGGAGACUGGAAUUCCUGGUGUAGCGGUGAAAUGCGCAGAUAUCAGGAGGAAUACCGGUGGCGAAGGCGGGUCUCUGGGCCGAUACUGACGCUGAGGAGCGAAAGCAAGGGGAGCAAACAGG
rnacentral:rRNA from 1 species